GAUGAGCGCUGGCGGCGUGCCUAAUACAUGCAAGUCGAGCGAAUGGAUUAAGAGCUUGCUCUUAUGAAGUUAGCGGCGGACGGGUGAGUAACACGUGGGUAACCUGCCCAUAAGACUGGGAUAACUCCGGGAAACCGGGGCUAAUACCGGAUAAUAUUUUGAACUGCAUGGUUCAAAAUUGAAAGGCGGCUUCGGCUGUCACUUAUGGAUGGACCCGCGUCGCAUUAGCUAGUUGGUGAGGUAACGGCUCACCAAGGCAACGAUGCGUAGCCGACCUGGGAGGGUGAUCGGCCACGCUGGGACGGAGACACGGCCCAGACUCCUACGGGAGGCAGCAGUAGGGAAUCUUCCGCAAUGGACGAAAGUCUGAAGGAGCAACGCCGCGUGAGUGAUGAAGGCUUUCGGGUCGUAAAACUCUGUUGUUAGGGAAGAACAAGUGCUAGUUGAAUAAGCUGACACCUUGACGGUACCUAACCAGAAAGCCACGGCUAACUACGUGCCAGCAGCCGCAGUAA
rnacentral:rRNA from 1 species